AGAUUGAACGCUGGCGGCAGGCCUAACACAUGCAAGUCGAGCGGUAGAGAGGUGCUUGCACCUCUUGAGAGCGGCGGACGGGUGAGUAAUCGCCUAGGAAUCUGCCUAGGUGGUGGGGGAUAA
rnacentral:rRNA from 1 species